CUCUCGUUCCUCUCUUCACGUUCCCUCUCACUCUCGUUCCUCUCUUCCUCUUCGUCUCAUUGCUCUCUUCACGUUCUUACUCUCAUUCCUCUCACGCAGUGGCUUUUCAUCUCAUUCCUCUCUUCACGUUCCCUCUCACUCUCAUUCCUCUCACGCAGUGGCUCCGCUGCCUCUUUCCUCUCACGCUCCGCUGCCUCUUUCCUCUCACGCUCCGCUGCUUCUUUCCUCUCACACAGUGGCUCCGCUGCCUCUUCCUCGAAAUCUCUGAAGUCUAACCAAAGAUCUUUUCAUUCGCACCCUGUUCGCCAUUGGUGUUGUUGUUCUCUCCUCUGAUACAAAAGAUUAAAACUUUGAUCAUGGGAAACAGCUGCAGAAAACCAGUGGCUCAUGUGUCUUCCACAAGUUUCUUUGGUCAGUUUUAAUUUGGUUGUUUUAAUCGUGUGUGUGUGUUUGCCCUCAUUUUUCUUUAGUGCAAAAUAUAAAUAAGCCUUGAUUUGUUUUUCUUCUGCUUUGAUGCUUUGAAUUUUGAUAUUUGUUUGUCAUGGUGGAUGGUUCCAUUUUUGUGUCUUUGGUUUACACGGAGAGAAGAAGAAGAAGGCGAUGGUUUCCAAAGGGUUCUAAAUAAUGUUGAAUGAUUUUCGCCUUUUAUUUCUUCUUAGAAGAAUCGAGAUGAUGUUGGCUACAAUCAACUCCUCAAGUUUUGGUGUGAGCUGUCACCACAAGCUCGGUUGGAGCUCUUGAGGAUAGACAAACAAACCCUUUUUGAGCAUGCACGAAAAAACAUGUACUGCUCCAGGUGCAAUGGGUUACUUCUUGAAGGAUUUCUGCAGAUUGUUACAUAUGGGAAAUCUUUGCAACAAGAGGGAGCAGUCGUUCAUUUUCCUUGUAGCAGAGCUGGAGGUUUGAAAAAUCAAAAUAACAGUGGAUCAUCCAUCUGUAAUGUGGUCCAGGAUGAAAUCCAAGAUCCAAGUGUCCAUCCUUGGGGUGGUUUGACCACAACGCGUGAGGGUGCACUAACACUUCUGGAUUGCUACUUGUAUUCAAAGUCUCUGAAAGGACUGCAAAUUAAGGUGUUCAACCUAUUCCCUGGACUAUCCGGAUCAACAUUGCAGUUGCCGUUGCAAGAGGAUUAACAUUUUUACAUACCCUGGAUAGAAAUGUUAUAUAUCGUGAUUUAAAGGCAGCCAACAUCCUACUGAUUCGAUAUUUAACACUGAAAGUUUGGCUUGUGAAUUUGUGAAGAAAACAACACCUGUUGUUUCUUUUAUUUUAAGUGUUAAGUAGAAACUUGGCUACACUUAAAUAGUGUAUGUACAUUAAUGUAAUAUUUGGAUUUAAUAUAUAGUUUCAUGUAUAAAUGAUGUAUUAAAUAUUAGACUAUUUAAUAUUUGA